UGCUGCCGUGGCUGGGAUUCUGUUGUGUGCAGGUGGGAGACACUCGGUGGAAUAUGCUGGAACACUCUCCCCUUUGCUCUAGCCCGAGUCCGCGCUGACCACUCAGUGCAUUGUUCUGGAGCAUCCAGUUUUCUAGAAACACGUGGGCUGGAGCUGGAGAUUUUGGGUCUUGGACAUGGGGUGCUGAUGAAAAGUCUUAGAAGAUAGGGAAGGGGUUCUACUGGGUGGAUGUGGAGGGGGUUAGGCAGCAUUAAACAAACACAGGGAGAGGGAGAGAUUAAGUUCAAUCACUGUGGUUCAGUCGUGGUCCAUUUCCACAGGCCCCACACAGGACUAGGGAGGGGGUAUGGGAGACAGUGGGCCUCAAGCUGAGGCUGAAUCUUGGGUUCCUCACGGAUAAGCUGUGUGAUCUUGGGCAAGUCACUUGGCCUCUCUGAGUUUUUGUUUGGAAAAAGAUUUAAGGUGACUUGCAAACAGAGGUAACGCCCAGAAAAACAUCUCAAGGAAAUGACCGAGGAAAUGGGGGAGAACAAGCCGAUACCGUUUCAGAUUCUCAGGACUCACAAAAUCGGGCAAGGUGCUACUGGAUUCAAGGAGAGAAAGGUCUCCACGGGUCUUCUUAGAGAGGACGUGGGCACUGGGGAAGCCUGUUCUGAAGUAUUUAUUCAAGAGCAUCUUUCAAAAAGUGGCCAACACCUGCCAACCAAUGUGUCAUGGCCGCAUGCCGUCGCAGCUGCUGGGGCAGUGUCAUCAACGGCCUUAACAAAAUCUACGGAGUCCGCACGGCAGGGCGCUGGAAGGAGCCAUUUUAAAACGAAACGCUCCGCAAUGUAG
rnacentral:lncRNA from 1 species